rnacentral:rRNA from 1 species
ACUGAGCCGAUUCGAGAAAUCCGGGGAUCGCCGGUCUGAUGUCUUCGGGCGUCUCUCUGGUGAGAACCGGCUUAAUCGCAUCAGUUUGAACCGGGCAAAAGUCGUAACAAGGUUGCUGUAGGUGAACCUGCUGCAGGAUCAUUA